GGUUAAGUGACUAAGCGUACACGGUGGAUGCCUUGGCAGUCAGAGGCGAUGAAGGACGUAUUAACUUGCGAGAAGAUGAGAUUAAGCAGUAAAAGGCACUGACAUCAACGGUUACCGAAGGAGGAAACCCACUAGCAUCAGCUAGUAUCGCCUCGUGAAUACAUAGCGCAGCGAGGAGAACUCGGGGAACUGCAACUUCUAAGUACCCGAAGGAAAAGAAAUCCACUGAGAUUCCGGAUGUAGCGGCGAGCGAGAUUGGACUCGCCCUUAAGCUUUAAAUGAUGCAGGUGAACCCACUGGAAAGCGUGGCAAUAAAGGGUGAUAGCCCCGUAACCGACACGUCAUUCUAAGUGAAAACGAUUAAGGCGUGACACGUGAUAUCCUGUUUGAAUAUGGGGGGACCAUCCUCCAAGGCUAAAUAC
rnacentral:rRNA from 1 species